rnacentral:misc_RNA from 1 species
AGAGAGAGAGAGAGAGAACAAUUAAAUUAAAUGCUUACUGUAAAAUUUGUUUCCAUGGCCUUUUGAUGACUUUAUAAUUUAUCUUUUCUUGCUUUUCCCUGAGUUCUCAUUUCAUAGUGUUUAUUACUGUUCAACUUUCUCUGGCAAGAAAUGCGUUAAUUGUGUAAUUGUAAUUAAAUUUCUUUGAAAUUUUUUGGUUAUUUGUUGGACUGCCUGCUUUCCUA